rnacentral:rRNA from 1 species
AACGAACGCUGGCGGCAUGCCUAACACAUGCAAGUCGAACGAACCCUUCGGGGUUAGUGGCGCACGGGUACGUAACGCGUGGGAAUCUGCCCUUUGCUUCGGAAUAACAGUUAGAAAUGACUGCUAAUACCGGAUGAUGUCUUCGGACCAAAGAUUUAUCGGCAAGGGAUGAGCCCGCGUAGGAUUAGGUAGUUGGUGGGGUAAAGGCCUACCAAGCCGACGAUCCUUAGCUGGUCUGAGAGGAUGAUCAGCCACACUAGGACUGAGGCACGGGCCAGACUCCUACGGGAGGCAGCAGUGGGGAAUAUUGGACAAUGGGCGCAAGCCUGAUCCAGCAAUGCCGCGUGAGUGAUGAAGGCCUUCGGGUCGUAAAGCUCUUUUACCAGGGAUGAUAAUGACAGUACCUGGAGAAUAAGCUCCGGCUAACUCCGUGCCAGCCGCCGCAGUAACA